UCGGAUGUGGUGCACGGUGCACAUCAGCUAGCACUAUCUUGUUUGGAUACUGAUGCUGUAAGCUGGAGCCCGGGGUUCGACUCCCUGCAUCCGAA